UAAUACAGAGGUGGCAAGCGUUGUUCGGAAUUACUGGGCGUAAAGGGCGCGUAGGCGGUCUUGUCAGUCCCUUGUGAAAUCCCCCGGCUCAACUGGGGAACUGCAAGGGAAACAGCAGGGCUUGAGUUCGGGAGAGGGAAGCGGAAUUCCGGGUGUAGCGGUGAAAUGCGUAGAUAUCCGGAGGAACACCGGUGGCGAAGGCGGCUUCCUGGACCGACACUGACGCUGAGGCGCGAAAGCUAGGGGAGCAAACGGGAUUAGAUACCCCGGUAGUCCUAGCUGUAAACGAUGAGUGCUAGUUGUCGGCAUGCAUGCAUGUCGGUGACGCAGCUAACGCAUUAAGCACUCCGCCUGGGGAGUACGGUCGCAAGAUUA
rnacentral:rRNA from 1 species